UACGGAGGGUGCAAGCGUUAUCCGGAUUCACUGGAUUUAAAGAGAGCAUAAAUAAACUUUUAAGUCAGUGAUGAAAUCUUUGGGCUUAACCCGAAAACUGCCAUUAAUACUAUUAGUCUUAAAUUCUCUAAAAGUAAGCAGAAUAUGUCAUGUAGCGGUGAAAUGCUUAGAUAUGACAUAGAACACCCAUUGCGAAGGCAGCUUACUACGGAGACAUUGACACUGAGGCUCGAAAGCGUGGGGAUCAAACAGG
rnacentral:rRNA from 1 species